rnacentral:miRNA from 1 species
CUGAUCUGCUCAGCUUGAGGCCACCUGGAGGCUGGAGCGUCCUUGCUGUCCUGUGCCCUCCUGGCUUCUGCCUGU